GUUGUGGUUGAAAAAGCUCGUAGUUGGAUCUCAACAGACCCGGGUCGGUUUACUUUGUGUAAUACUGAUCCGGUACUGUGCUUUUGCUGGAGGUUUAGGGGUGCUCUUAACCGAGUGUCUCUGAGUGCCAGACAGGUUUACUUUGAAGAAAAUAAAUUGCUCAAGGAAGGCUGUUAUGCCUGAAUAUUUGUGCAUGGAAUAAUAGAAUAGGAUGUUGAUCUUAUUUUGUUGGUUUUCAAGACUCGACAUAAUGAUUAAUAGGGACAGUCGGGGGCAUUUGUAUUCAAACGACAGAGGUGAAAUUCUUGGACCGUUUGAAAGACAAACUACUGCGAAAGCAUUUGCCAAGAAUGUUUUCAUUAAUCAAGAACGAAAGUUAGAGGUUCGAAGGCGAUUAGAUACCGCCCUAGUUCUAACCAUAAACGAUGCCAGCUAGCGAUCUGCUGACGUUUUUA
rnacentral:rRNA from 1 species